CCUACGGGGUGCAGCAGUGGGGAAUAUUGCACAAUGGGCGCAAGCCUGAUGCAGCCAUGCCGCGUGUGUGAAGAAGGCCUUCGGGUUGUAAAGCACUUUCAGCGGGGAGGAAGGCGUUAAGGUUAAUAACCUUGGCGAUUGACGUUACCCGCAGAAGAAGCACCGGCUAACUCCGUGCCAGCAGCCGCGGUAAUACGGAGGGUGCAAGAGUUAAUCGGAAUUACUGGGCGUAAAGCGCACGCAGGCGGUCUGUCAAGUCGGAUGUGAAAUCCCCGGGCUCAACCUGGGAACUGCAUUCGAAACUGGCAGGCUAGAGUCUUGUAGAGGGGGGUAGAAUUCCAGGUGUAGCGGUGGAAUGCGUAGAGAGCUGGAGGAAUACCGGUGGCGAAGGCGGCCCCCUGGACAAAGACUGACGCUCAGGUGCGAAAGCGUGGGGAGCAAACAGGAUUAGAUACCCUGGUAGUC
rnacentral:rRNA from 1 species